CCCAACUAUCCCUAUUAAUCAUUACGUCAAUCCUAGAAACCAACAAAAUAAGAUCGAACGUCCUAUUUCAUUAUUCCAUGCUAAUGUAUUCAAGCGUUAGCCUGCUUUAAACACUCUAAUUUUUUCAAAGUAACAGUCCAGUCUCCCCGCAACACCAAAUUAAUGGCAUUACGGUUCAUCAGGAAGGAGGAGCCAGUAAGACCAGUACAUACCAGUGGCACGACCAAUCUACUGACCCCGAAAUUCAACUA
rnacentral:rRNA from 1 species